UUAAUUUGGAUAUGCCUAAGGUUCAAAUCAAUUAAAGUCAAUCAAAUAAAUACUGACCUAUUUAAACUUAGCAAUUAUUGCAAUUCAAAUCAAACUGGGAUAGGAAAUUACCUAAAUUGAAUUCAUGCGCAAUCUCAGAGAAUCGAAUCGCUAGCUUGUGGAUGAGGCUAGGACGAUUGUGGUGCUCCUGGCGGUGAGAACUCGUGGUGGAUUACCUGUGAUCACAAUGGUGCAAUCAUGGAGCACGGCGGGGCUGAGCAACAGUUGCCGGAGGCUGGUGGAUAAACCUGGAGUCGCUGAGAAUAGGCUGGGACGAACCAAGAGGAUCUGUGAGAGACAAACAUAAUGCAAAGCAAUUGCAGGUGCGGUGGUGACGUAAGCGAACGCUGGACUGCGUUAGUGACCCCACAGGAAACUCAGCGAGUCGAAAAGGGCACGGCUGGGUGGUCACGCCAGGAGCUGGGCUUCCAGCCCUGGGCAGGGACGAUGGAUAGCGUCGUUUCUGGUGGCUGGUCGCUGGAGGAAGUGCUAGUGGAUCGCUGGAUCACCACCAGGCGUGGUGGCAUGGGCUGGAGAAGCUCGCUCGAGGAGGGUGCCGCGAGGAACCGGCAAACACGGUGGCAAUGAUGGAGCCAGGAAACUGAGAUCAACCAGAACAGCAAGAUUCGUCAGACAUUUGUUGAGGAAGGCUCAGACCGAUGUGAAGACUUGAUGACAACGUGAUGCGCGGUUGGGACUGCAGGAACUCGGCUGGAUGUAUGGGCAAGACGACGACCGUGUGAGGGCGACGGCCCAGCAGAAGCAAUGAUGUCGUCGAAGGGCUGAGCAGGUCACCGAGCACGGCAGCGAGUGUAGAAGGUGUCAGCGAUGCACGGUGUACUCGAGGCAAUGGCUUGAUAAAGCCAGAGGAUAAUUGUGUGUUCUCCCUCUGCUCCCACGACAGAUGAAGACAGUUCUCUCUGGUUCGAAUUAGGAUCAAGGAUAGACUGAUUAAAGUUCGAAUGGAUUUGGAAAUUAUCCUCGAGAGUUUGACCGGUUUCGGUAAUUAUUUCUUACCCAGGGGAUCGGAUGAACGACCGAGAUUCGGAGCCGAUAGAUAAUGUGGUCGUUUAGGAGUGAAAUAUAUCAAUAUUUUCACAACAGCCCAGAGAUAAACUCCAUCAUGCGACAGAAUGCCCCGUUGACAGCUCUCUUUGCAUGGCGUGAGAAGUGAAGCCCAAGAGGAGGGGCAAGCAUUCUCGUGUCUUUAAAAUGAGCAUUAUCCAUGUUUCUUGUGGAUGAGACCAGAAGGCAUAUCUUUUCGUUUAAAAUUAUCCCACUCUUACCUUAAUUUUUAAAUGUUCCCCUUUACUUCAACAAAUAUUUCCACGACCG
rnacentral:lncRNA from 1 species